rnacentral:lncRNA from 1 species
AUGAGGAAAAUGGGGGGAAAAGGGGGGAAAAUGGGGGAAAUGGUGAAAAAUGGGGAAAAUGUGGAAAAAAGGGGAAAAAAUUGGCAAAAUGGGGAAAAUUGGGGAGAAAUGGGAAAAAAUGAGGGAAAUGGGGAAAAAUGGGGGGAAAUGGGAAAGUUGGGGGAAAAAUGGGGGGAAAUAGGGAAAAAAUGGGUGAAAAUAGGGAAAAAAUGGGGAAAAUGUGGGAAAAAAGGAGGGAAAAUUUGGAAAAAUGGGGAAAAAAUGAGGAAAAAAAGGGGGAAAUGGGAAAAAAUGGGGAAAAAAGAGGAAAAAAUGGGGAAAAUGGGAAAAAAUGGGGGAAAAAGAGGAAAAAACGGAAUUUUGUCUGGGCCCCGCAGCGCGGCCGCGAUGGCGCCGAUGGCGACGGGAGCAGGUGAGGCGGUGACGUCACGGAGGGGCGGUGACGUCAUCGGUGACGUCAUCGGUGACGUCACUAACGCGGCCCCUCCCCUCCCCCCAGCGGCGCUGACGGAGCGGGAGAGGUUCGAGUACGAUUACGACUCUCUGCGCCUCGGGGGUCUCGUCGUGGCCGGGAUCUUCUUCGUGCUCGGGAUCCUCCUCAUCCUCAGACGGGGGAGCCGGACGAGUCCGAGGGGCCCCUGCGGCAAUCGAUGCGGCGUCUCUCCACGCGCAUGAGAUGAAAUUUGGGAAUUUCAGCCCCAGGAGCCCAAAUUUUGGGGGUCCCGGAGCCGCCCCCCCAAGAUCCCAAAAAUCCCAAAAAUCCCCAAAAAAUCCCCAAA